rnacentral:rRNA from 1 species
CCGCACAAGCGGUGGAGCAUGUGGUUAAUUCGAAGCAACGCGAAGAACCUUACCAGGUCUUGACACUCCCCUGACAACCCGAGAGAUCGGGCGUUCCCCUUCGGGGGGACAGGGUGACAGGUGGUGCAUGGUUGUCGUCAGCUCGUGUCGUGAGAUGUUGGGUUAAGUCCCGCAACGAGCGCAACCCUCGACCUUAGUUGCCAGCAUUCAGUUGGGCACUCUAAGGUGACUGCCGGCUAAAAGUCGGAGGAAGGUGGGGAUGACGUCAAAUCAUCAUGCCCCUUAUGACCUGGGCUACACACGUGCUACAAUGGGCGGUACAAAGGGUCGCGAACCCGCGAGGGGGAGCCAAUCCCAAAAAGCCGCUCUCAGUUCGGAUUGCAGGCUGCAACUCGCCUGCAUGAAGCCGGAAUCGCUAGUAAUCGCGGAUCAGCAUGCCGCGGUGAAUACGUUCCCGGGCCUU